rfam:Xylella fastidiosa PLS229 contig00006, whole genome shotgun sequence.
GGCCGGGUAGCUCAGUUGGUAGAGCAGGGGACUGAAAAUCCCCGUGUCGGGGGUUCGAUUCCCUCCCCGGCCA